rnacentral:rRNA from 1 species
AACGAACGCUGGCGGCAGGCCUAACACAUGCAAGUCGAGCGAGGACUUCGGUCCUAGCGGCGGACGGGUGAGUAACGCGUGGGAACGUGCCCUUUGCUUCGGAAUAGCCCUGGGAAACUGGGAUUAAUACCGGAUGAGCCCUUUGGGGGAAAGAUUUAUCGGCGAAGGAUCGGCCCGCGUUGGAUUAGGUAGUUGGUGGGGUAAUGGCCUACCAAGCCGACGAUCCAUAGCUGGUUUGAGAGGAUGAUCAUCCGCACUGGGACUGAGACACGGCCCAGAAUCCUACGGGAGGCAGCAGUGGGGAAUCUUAGACAAUGGGGGAAAACCUGAUAUAGCCAUGCCGCGUGAGCGAUGAAGGCCUUAGGGUUGUAAAGCUCUUUGAGCUGGGAAGAUAAUGACGGUACCAGCAGAAGAAGCCCCGGCUAACUCCGUG